rnacentral:rRNA from 1 species
GACGAACGCUGGCGGCGUGCUUAACACAUGCAAGUCGAACGGAAAGGCCCUGCUUUUGUGGGGUGCUCGAGUGGCGAACGGGUGAGUAACACGUGAGUAACCUGCCCUUGACUUUGGGAUAACUUCAGGAAACUGGGGCUAAUACCGGAUCGGAGCUCCUGCUGCAUGGUGGGGGUUGGAAAGUUUCGGCGGUUGGGGAUGGACUCGCGGCUUAUCAGCUUGUUGGUGGGGUAGUGGCUUACCAAGGCUUUGACGGGUAGCCGGCCUGAGAGGGUGACCGGCCACAUUGGGACUGAGAUACGGCCCAGACUCCUACGGGAGGCAGCAGUGGGGAAUAUUGCACAAUGGGCGGAAGCCUGAUGCAGCAACGCCGCGUGCGGGAUGACGGCCUUCGGGUUGUAAACCGCUUUCGCCUGUGGCGAAGCGUGAGUGACGGUAAUGGGUAAAGAAGCACCGGCUAACUACGUG